CGAUGUCUCCCCCAAACCGGCCUCACCCCGGCCCCGUGGUGGCAGCCCAGGCUCACCCUCCAGAAGCCCACGGGGUAAAUGAGCGUGCCCAGUGUGCUGUCGUCUGUCUGCAGGAUGCUGUCCACCGUCAGGCCCCGGGCCCGUAGCCGCUGCAUGGCGCCCGCGGUCACCUGGUCUUUGGUCUGGCUGGAGAGCAUCAGCGAGAGCAGCACCUGGAACCUCCGGACCUGCAGGCAGUGACAGGGGACGGGGGCGGGUAUGGGGGCCUCAGCAGAGCCCUGGGCCCACCUCUACCUGUUACCCCUGGAAAGGUGUGGGAUGCGCCCUCCAACCCGCCUGGGCCAACGAGACGUGGUGGGUCUGGCUCAGGCAUUUCGUCCUCUACAAUGUGGGGACAACCAGGGCAUGGUCAGCUCUUGUCGUGAACACUGAAUUAGCAAACUCGGAACCACCGCACCUCUGAGAGCCUGUGAGCCUCUGGAGGACAUGUAGCCUCUGGAGGACAUGUAGCCCUGCUUUAUGUGUGUCUGUGUUCACACUCCUCAUUUUACGUACGUUCUCGACUCAUCAGCACUGAACUACACGCGGCACUGCAACUCCUGCCUGAAGGAAGCUGGCCUAACACGCAUUUCCUCCACGGGGCUUCUCGGGCUUCGGAACACUAACUACAUGGUGCUCCGGCACCAUGCAGAGUCCCCAACGAAAAGCACAAGAGGGUGAGGGAUGCAGCACGAAAGGGACCGCAGAGCCGACGCCCGUUUACAGGAUGAGCUGAAACAAGGCGGCUGAGCGUCGUCCGGGGGACCUCGGCUGAGAAAGUGCAUGUUGGGCCACUGGCAUUUUCCUGUGCAUCUGUCCUCGAACGACCGCUGAAGGGCUGCAAUUAUCUAUUUGGGGGUUACAAGUAAAUUUUAGCACGUAGAUAAGCAAACGGGCUCGGGGAGCAGGGACCCAAGUCGCCCAGUUACACAGGAGCAGGGUCGGGACUGGAACUCGGGUUGGUCUAAGGACCUAGGAUCCUGACCAGGGUCUCCGUUUGCACUCGUGAUGAAGUCCAAAUGAUAUCCUGGCACCAAAGCUCCCGCCAACCUGGCUGGCACGCACCCCUAACAGGGAGAGAAGACUUCUGACUGGUGUCCCAGCACCUCGCUCCUCUGAGAGGAAGCAGCUAUAUGAGCUCAGGAGCAGCACCCAGGUCGGGCUGGUGGGACCGGGAGACCUUUCCCGCUCAGGACGGGGUGGGGGAGGUGGAGCGCCCGGACCCCAGCCCCUGCGGACCCCUUCCCCUGCGUCCAGGGACUAGAGCGCGGGGGUGGGCGACGGCCCGGGUCCGGUCUCCAGCGGGACCCUUCCCCCGCCUCUGCCCCCGCGCCCUGGCCCGGGCGCCGCGCUACCUGCAGCCGCCUGUCCCCUCCGGAGGGGCGCGGCCUCCUCCCCACACCCCCGCAGCUCGGCUCCC